CUAUUUCAUAUGAUGCGAUAUCCUAUAUCAAUUAUUUCCUGGCAUUCUAGAAAGACCAUCAUGACUUCCAGCUGCCAUGCCACCUGAACCAGUUGGAGAAACUGUCCAUUAGAUGGAACUCUUUGGGAUAUGUGUUACAUUUCACGAGAUAAAAGAAGGUUUAAAAAGACAAUAAGUUCUGUGAGUUGAAUGACAUUCACCCACAGCCCCUAGACAUGGUACAGAAUCUAGAGAAAGAAGGUCUCUACCCAGUGACCCUGCAGUCUUCCACAGAUGAGCCACCAGCACUGUGAAAGGAUUGAAAUGAGCCACAUAGAUGGAAUCAAGAUGGUAACGACACUCAGUGAGAUACUGGCCUCACCAUCACCACCAUUAGUCAUCGGUUAAGAUAUCAUACUGAGACAGAAGGUACUUGCCAAGAGCCUGCCCUCUCUUUUAAAAUUUCUACUCCAAUAAUUUGAAUCUGCGUUUCAAUCACCUGCACAGAUAUUCUCCCUACCACGGCAAAUAAGACAUUCAGGGACUUUUAGUAAGCUAGUGACGUGAUUCUAUCAUCACCUGCCGAGAAGGACCUCAAGAGAUAAUCAGACCUAGUAUUUUGCUCCUAAUAGAAGGUGGCGCAGUGGUUAAGAAUCCACCUGCCAAUGCAGGGGACACGAGUUUGAGCCCUGGUCAAGGAAGAUCCCACAUGCUGCGAAGCAACUAAGCCCGUGCGCCACAACUACUGAGCCUGCACUCUAGAGCCCGUGUGCCACAACUACUGAAGCUCGUGCGCCUAGACCCCGUGCUCUGCAACAAGAGAAGCCACUGCAAUGAGAAGCCUGCGCACCACAACAAAGAGUAGCCCCCGCUCGCCGCAACUAGAGAAAGCCCGCGCGCAGCAACGAAGACCCAACGCAGCCAUAAAUAAAUAAAUAAAUAAA